rnacentral:sRNA from 1 species
AAGCUGAGGCGAGCGUAUUCCAAAUCAGUUUAUAAAAGCGGCAAAGCGCAGUGGAAAGCCAGACAAUUUCGACAAUACUGAAGCUAUCAGGAACGACAUACCCCCCAAGUGUCGUUCCUGAGCGGGCGGGCUCUGUCCUGCCUCUGUAUCACUCCUAAUGGUCUUGGCCCGAAUUCAUCCCCCAGAAUUCGG